AGGAUAGUAGUUAAACAUAACAUUUGGGUUGCAUUCAAAAGGUAUUGAUUUAUUCAAUCUAUCUUA
rnacentral:tRNA from 1 species